rnacentral:rRNA from 1 species
UACGUAGGGUCCGAGCGUUGUCCGGAAUUAUUGGGCGUAAAGGGCUCGUAGGCGGUUUGUCGCGUCGGGAGUGAAAACACCGGGCUUAACUCGGUGCUUGCUUUCGAUACGGGCAGACUAGAGGUAUGCAGGGGAGAACGGAAUUCCUGGUGUAGCGGUGAAAUGCGCAGAUAUCAGGAGGAACACCGGUGGCGAAGGCGGGUCUCUGGGCAACAACUGACGCUGAGGAGCGAAAGCGUGGGGAGCGAACAGG